AUUGAACGCUGGCGGCAGGCUUAACACAUGCAAGUCGAGCGGGGGAAGGCAGCUUGCUACCGGACCUAGCGGCGGACGGGUGAGUAAUGCUUAGGAAUCUGCCUAUUAGUGGGGGACGACAUCUCGAAAGGGAUGCUAAUACCGCAUACGUCCUACGGGAGAAAGCAGGGGAUCUUCGGACCUUGCGCUAAUAGAGGAGCCUAAGUCGGAUUAGCUAGUUGGUGGGGUAAAGGCCUACCAAGGCGACGAUCUGUAGCGGGUCUGAGAGGAUGGUCUGCCACACUGGGACUGAGACACGGCCCAGACUCCUACGGGAGGCAGCAGUGGGGAAUAUUGGACAAUGGGGGGAACCCUGAUCCAGCCAUGCCGCGUGUGUGAAGAAGGCCUUAUGGUUGUAAAGCACUUUAAGCGAGGAGGAGGCUACUUUAGUUAAUACCUAGAGAUAGUGGACGUUACUCGCAGAAUAAGCACCGGCUAACUCUGUGCCAGCCGCCGCGGUAA
rnacentral:rRNA from 1 species